rnacentral:lncRNA from 1 species
GCAGGGAGGCGGCCAGGCUGGUGUCUGUCACGACGGGCGGUGGUGCCCGCGGGAAGGCUCAGCGGGUGCCGGUGCUGAGGCAGGGCGGCCGAGCUUCGUGUGGCGGGAUGACACAAAGCCCGCUGCUAGUCGUGCAGCGCUCUGCCCCAGCGCUGAGGUACUUGGUAACGGCAGGGAUAAUAGAAGUCACAGGAAGAGUGGGCGGCUAAGUGAAUGAGCGUUCAGAAUGAUGACCUAUACAACCUCAGCAAAUCCUUCUUUUAACUCAUGGGUAUCAAGACUAUAAAUGUUUCAUGCUACCACAACUAGGACCUCACCUCCUCCUCCUCCUCUUCCUCUGUAAAUGGGUACGAUGCAUCCAGUUCAGUUUGUUUACUUUACACAAACCUCAGGAGUUAGUUGACUGAGCUGCACAUCCUGUGUUGUGCCAAGCAGAAGCACUGUGACACCUGGACAAUGAGUCUCUCUUACUUCAUCCUCUACCAUAAGGACUUAGCUGGCCACAAUGAACUGAUGUGCCCACCACUACAUCAUGGUGAGAAUGGGUAUUUUACUAGCACAUUUACACAACUUCAUUUGCUGCUGAAAACCUGUAUGACAAAUCAUCAUUGUAAAUUAUUACAUACAAAACUUAAUGUUGGUUGAAGAGUAUUAAAUAUUUAACAUAGGUUUUGAUUUAUACAUGUACUUUUUUAAUUAAAAUGUAACUUUUCCUACAGCACAUCAUUUUUGAUGUGGAACUGAGGUAUACUAUAUUCUGUUGUAAACAGAGUGGGAAACCUGCUUAAAACAAGGCUUCUAAGAAUAGAGUAGGGUACUAUUCUUGUUUUAAGAUUGUAAUUCAGAAAAUAAUAUAAUAUGAGUCAUUGGUCCCUGGGCCUUGAUUGUACAGUCAUAUUUACUGAUACUAUCAGUUGUAAGAUAACCCUGAUGUUGAGUUGAGUUCUUUCCAAAAGAAAAAAUAAUUUUGUACUCCUUGUAAGAUAAUAGUCUGUAUUAACUACAAUGAAGACAAACAUUACUGUAUAUGGUAUUUACAAGUGUCAACUUGAAUUCAUCAAUUGCACAGGUCAAAAAAAAAAAAUCAGAAAAAAGAAAUCAAAGUCUUCCAUUGUAUAUAUUGUAAAGAAAAAAAAAAUCAACCAACAGAAAACAACAAAAUGAAAACAAAAAAGGGUGAACUUUUCAAAUUGACUCUUUCCCUGGAAUGAAAAUGUGGGUGUUUGUAAAUUCUGGAAAUCUCUUUCUACAUGUAAUAAACUAGAUACUGUUUU